GGACUUAAGGAAAACUACAGGCGAAUAUCCGUUGAAUAUCCAACUUGAAACUGUCUUUACCUCGGUCAUAAGUUUGUUUGUCUUGAACUAUGCCUCCGUCCAAAUUGCACAUGCUCCAGGCACUUCGUCGGUAGUUGCACCCCCUCACGCCGAGUCUGACUCGCUAGUAGGCCUAGUAGCUAGUGGAGGUACCGGUGGUGAUGCUGAACUGGCUGGAUAAGCAGCGCUGCUAGCUAAGGGGGACAUCGCCAUCAGGAGCAGUUUUCUUCUCACUCCUCUCAACCUGCACUGACAGUUCUCUGGCUUGUUUCGGCAUGUUUCACAUUGUGGACUUUAUAUCUGUGGAGAAGAAGGAGACCGAAGUUGUGCCUUCAUCAUGGGUCCAGGAUGGCAUGAGCUACUGGCCCCCUUAUACAUCCACAGGACGCUGCACAAGGGCAGUGAAACGUCAAGAAGCACCUGACGAAACAUGGGAUUUGUUUGAUGUGAACAUCAGGUUCGCUAGAGACACAUGAAGAUGUUCGCCAUAAGCUUCCUUUUACUGGCUGUGGUCUAAUCUGAUCUUCAGACUGAGGAGGAGGAUGACCGCCAUGCAUAUAUGAAGAGAAAAGGAAGGGGCACAAAUAAGCAAAUAUUCAGUGCCACUGAAAGUGAGGAUGAGGAGCCAAUGGAAAAGUUUUCACGCAAGGGCCAGUCCAACACCUCUAAGGGUUUGCCACCUGCACCAGUUAUCAGACCUCCAGAGCACAGAAGAGAGAUACCUGGAAAUUCUGAUAGGCCAACAAGGCUUGAGCAAAACAUUCAACGGCAGCAGCAGCCAGUGUGUGAUCCAAUUCUUCGUGAGAUCUUAACCUCCAUAGAAAUGAUUAAGCAAAAGCAAAAGCUGAUUUUGCCGCAGCUGCAAAAGCUCCAGGUGAACAGAUCAACCCUGGAUGAGGUUCCAGAUUUGACAGACCUUUGACUUCCAAUGUCCUUGCUGGAAGACUUGAGGAGAGUGGAGGGCCAACAUUCAGAUCAAGACUUAAAAAAGAACCUGACCAUGUAUUUGAGACUGUCUGGAGGGAUGACCACCAAGGAGAAUGUGUGGAGAAUCCUUUCAAAACUCCUUACAAAUGUCCUGGCCAUGAAAAUGAAUUGGAGAGGGGCCAAUGGGAAAUAGGCUUUUGAACCUCUUGCCUUAAAAAGUGUUGUUAUCGGUCCUGUGCGGCGCAGCCAUUCUGAAGUUCCUGAUGUGGAGAUAGAAAAAUACGUAAAACGAUGGAUGCAGCUAGCCCCCGACAGAGAUGGAGGGAGAGAAAGGAGAGAGCGAGUGAGAAGUGACCAGACCUUGGAGGAGUGAUGGAGAAAACCGAAUGCCUAGCAGAGCUUAAAUAGAACGAAAGCUUAAAUAUACAAAAUAAAACUACUUUUCAUUGUUCCUGUGAGCAAAACAUUUUUUAACAUUGAAAUUUAAAUCUUUAAAGGUCUUUCCUUUUUAAGUAGUAUUUUAGUAUUUUGAUACUUUGUUGAAGGCAAUUAAUCAGCAUUAAAAACUUGUGAUGGGUAUAAUUUAUAUGUAUAAAAUGUAUAAUAGUCAUAUUUAAAAUGACUAAAUCUGGUAAUUUUGUAUACAUUUAUUUUAAAUUUGCAUGGUAAAAUGCCGGCAAAGUCGGCUGAAUAGACGGAAUAGACAGAAACGGUCCGAUGUACUUGAGCCGAUUCUGGGCAGUCAUUCAUUUUGAUUCCGGGACGAUUCUGGAACCCGAUUCCGGGCUGAUUCAAUCAGUUCCGGGCCCCCGG
rnacentral:lncRNA from 1 species